AAAAAAUCAAUACAUUCAUAUUUCAUAAUUAAUAUCCAAUACAUUAAUUAAUAUUCAAAUUAAAAAUAAAUACAUUCAUUUAAUUAACAAUAAAAAUUUCAAAUACAUUUUACAUUACUUCAAUGUCCUACGACGAGGACACAUAUCAUUAAAUAUUUUUAAAAUAACUUCGUUGUCUAUAGUUUUAAAAAUAUCUUUUUCGAUAUAUGUUACUAAUCAGUCAUUCAUCAAACUAUCACCAAGGCGAUUUCUGAGACGAGUUUUAACGAUAUGCAUUGCUGAAAAACAACAUGGGAACUCUCAAGGGAAAAACACUUCUUUGAUAAUGUGAGAAAAUGGUUUUCACAAAUUAUCUCUAUGAUUAUGGAGGAUUAGGUGGGAAAACUAUAUACCAAAGACUCACUUAGUAGUUUGCCACUUUAUUCUGAGCAUAAUAAUGCAGCAGAUUGAAUUCAAGUCACAUAAUAAUGAAAUCCAAAAUUCAAAACAAAUCAUCUCAUUUGAUUGAAAUCUGGCAUCUUAUACUGUUAUUGAUUGGUGAUCGAUCUUGUGUGUUUACUAUAGAUAGUUUACUUAUUUCCUUUCAACUUGAUCAUUCUGAAAGAAAAUAAUUCUAAAACAACAUCACAACAUUUAUUUUAUACUUCAUAUUGUGUUAUUCUAUUAUUCUUCUUUUCAGAAUUUUAGUGGUGGUAAUAAUUUUUGGAAUAAAUAAUUAUAUUUACCUAGGUUGUUGAGAAUUUUCAGAAUUCUUGGGGGCAGAAUUUUCAGAAUUCUUGGGAAGUCUUUAGAUCUUCACCUAGGUUGUUGAGGGCAGACCGCAGACAUACACAGUCACACACCACACACGCACUGACGCUGGGACGCACACCAAUUUGAUCCCGCCUGAAGGCUGAAGAUGGUAGUUAAUAGUUUGGGGGCAGUGGCGUAUCCAGUUUUUGAAGGACCCAUCAACUGUUUGGGGGUAUGUUAUUGAUCUUGGACUCCUUGUGUACUAGAAACAACUUAUAUAGAAAGCAACGGAGGGAGAAAUCGUGAGGUGGAUGGGUCAUGAGAGUUGGGAGGAGGAGAGAUUGGGGAAGAAAUUGAAGGAGGAGGAGGAGAAAUCGAUAGUUUUGGGGAAGAAGAUUG
rnacentral:lncRNA from 1 species